AACGAACGCUGGCGGCAGGCCUAACACAUGCAAGUCGAGCGAGGACUUCGGUCCUAGCGGCGGACGGGUGAGUAACGCGUGGGAACGUGCCCCUUUGGUACGGAAUAGCCCCGGGAAACUGGGAGUAAUACCGUAUGGUGUCUUCGGACUAAAGAUUUAUCGCCAAAGGAUCGGCCCGCGUUGGAUUAGGUAGUUGGUGGGGUAAUGGCCUACCAAGCCGACGAUCCAUAGCUGGUUUGAGAGGAUGAUCAGCCACACUGGGACUGAGACACGGCCCAGACUCCUACGGGAGGCAGCAGUGGGGAAUCUUAGACAAUGGGGGCAACCCUGAUCUAGCCAUGCCGCGUGAGUGAUGAAGGCCCUAGGGUUGUAAAGCUCUUUCAGCUGGGAAGAUAAUGACGGUACCAGCAGAAGAAGCCCCGGNUAACUCCGUG
rnacentral:rRNA from 1 species